GUAUUUAAGUUUCCUUUCACAGCAGUUGAAGAUAUCGUACAGCAUCUAGCACUAGUAUCUCAAAGAAAGCAAGAGACGAAAUCUGUGGCUGGCUUUAUUCCUUUGGUAAUCCAGGAAGAAACAAGUUUUGGUAAAAAAUGGAGGAGGAACAUUCCACCCUUAUCAUUUACGUGAACAACCAAGUUUGGGAUAAUAUUAGUGUCACAGUUAGUGCAAGGCCACUAUUCAAGCUGCUGGAUGGAAACGUGGUCUUCUUCUGGUUCAAAUGGCUGUCAUCCUGGAUCACAACAGGGGUUCGUCCAGGGCAAACAAAGAUAGUUAAUACAGUGACCAGCUGGAACUUCUUUACUCACAGUUUGGGCAAGCAUGGAUGGUGGCUUUAUUCUAUCCAGGUAUCGAAAAAUAAUGGUGAGACUGCAAAGUGUCUGACACCUCUUCAUUGUACCUGGAUUGUGACUACAGAUGGGAUCUACCAAGAAGAGGACCCUGAAAACCGCUGCAGAUUUAAAAGAGACCAUGAUGAGGCUUGCCUAUCUGUCUAGGGCAGUUCACCCUGAUUCACUUGCCAUGCCUUGUUGUAGUAAAUAAACUGAUGGAAAAAUA